GACGAACGCUGGCGGCGUGCCUAAUACAUGCAAGUAGAACGCACAGUUUAUACCGUAGCUUGCUACACCAUAGACUGUGAGUUGCGAACGGGUGAGUAACGCGUAGGUAACCUGCCUGGUAGCGGUGGAUAACUAUUGGAAACGAUAGCUAAUACCUCAUAAUAUUCAUUAUUGCAUGAUAAUUAAUUGAAAGGUGCAAUUGCACCACUACCAGAUGGCCCUGCGUUGUAUUAGCUAGUAGGUGAGGUAACGGCUCACCUAGGCGACGAUACAUAGCCGAACUGAGAGGGUGAUCGGCCACACUGGGAAUGAGACACGGCCCAGAAUCCUACGGGAGGGAGCAGUAGGGAAUCUUUGGCAAGGGACGAAAGGCUGAACGAGGAACGCCGCGUGAGUGAAGAAGGGUUUCGGAUCGGAAAGCUCUGUUGUAAGAGAAGAACGGGGGUGGGAGUGGAAAGUGCACACUGUGACGGUAUCUCACCAGAAAGGGACGGCUAACUACGUG
rnacentral:rRNA from 1 species